GAAAACUUCUGCAUCUAACGAAGAUGAAAUCCGGAGAAGGAGACUAUUUUGACAUUAGAGUUAUAAACACCGUUGAUAGUUUUUCUUUUUCAAAUCAAACCCAGAUCCAUAGAAACCAUUAGAAAUUCGAAAAAACAAAUCAAAAUCCAGAAAAGGAAGAAUGAAGAGAAAAACCCAAAUCAGUGGAAAAUUCCGAUGGUCAGCGUAUCCGGAAAAUGGAAAAGCUCAGAGAGGCAAACAAAAAGUAAAACGGAGAAGACGAAGAAGAAUAGGAAGAGGAGGAAGAAGAGGGAGAAGAGAAGAGAGAAACCUCAUCAUUAUACCCAAGUGAAAACUCGAUUCGAAUUUUGCAAUGGUAUGUUUUCCGAUUCCCGAUCUGUGAUUAUUUUCAAAAAUCUAGGAUUCGUUUAAUUUUCUCCACACCAAACUUUUUCCCGAUUGAAACACAGCCUCCUCGUGCUUCCACUUUCUCGUGCCGAUCACCAGAGAAGCAAGGAAAGAAAAUGAAAAGAAACGAUGACGAAAAUAUCUAUGUAUAGAGAGAGAAAGAGAGAGGAAGAAUAAGAAGAAGAGAAGAAACGGAGGCUCUGCGUUAAC
rnacentral:lncRNA from 1 species